CUAAAAAUUGAACAAAAUUGAACGAGUAGAGAUGAGUAAACAAAAGAAGCAGAAAUGACGUCAUGUUAGCAAGAGCUAAACAAUAACACUCAUAACACAGAAAAAUUUCGGACAAAACUUGCUUUCCCCCUUCUUGCCAACUUCGGACACUACAUCUUCUCCUUCUCUCUACUAUCAUUUUGCUGAAAUUAUCCAAAAAAUCAUUUUAACCCACCAUUUUCAUCCGUAAUUUGAGCUACCCAAAAGAUUUGUGUAGCUUUAGUGGAGUUGUAGAUAGCAAAAAUCCCUAAUUCCGCCGCCGCUCUCCCUGUAGUUACCGUUGUCCCUCUUGAGAAUGAAAUGGAGGCCGACGCCAACUCCCUCCCUCUGCCUGACGUCAUGAAAGCCCCAAUCCGGCCAGACAUCGUCCAAGACGUUCAUCGCGCGACAUCUCCAAGAACUCUCGCCAAGCUACGCCGUCUUUAGGCCCGCUGGCCACCAGACCUUCGUCGAGUCCUGGGGUACUGGUCGCACUGUUUCCCGUAUCUCUUGUGUCCCUGGCGGCGGCACUCACCGUGCAGGCCAGGGUGCUUAUGACAACAUGUGUCGCGGCGGCCGCAUGUUUGCUCUGACCAAGAUCUAGCGCCGUUGGCACCGCAAGGUCCCAGUCAACAAGAAUCGCAAGCUGGAGUUCACCUUCUAGACGGCCUUUUGUUGAUCGUGUAUCAUUAGUUGAAGAGCUGAUCUCAAAUUGAAGAAAACUUCCCAACUUGUGGAAUUGCUGGAAGAGAGUAUGGUUGCACUAGUUAAUGAAAUUGUAAUCAUGUGCAAGUAAGAUGAUGCACAUGAUUCUGUUGUGAGUUCUUUGUUUUUCGGUGAACCAUGAUGCAUAUAAUACUUGCCAUCCUCUUAUUCCAAUUGUUGAUGGCUUUUCUGUUAUGGUCAUAGCUUGAAUUCUGUUGUCUCUGAGUCAUCAACUCUUUCCAUCUUUCCUCCUAUUGAAGUUUUGGAUAUUUAUGCUGUCACUAGACAAAUUGAUGACUAUAGAAUCGACAAGAAUGCUGCCAAUGUUAAAAUGAGCUACAUAAUUUCUAAGUGUGGUAGAGAAAUCAUAGGAGGCUUUCUUUGAACAUUUGUAUUUCGAACUUCAGCAGAGGAGGCUUUCUCUGAACGCUUGGAUUUCAAAUUUCAGCUUCAGGCAAACAUACAGCUGGGCCAAAUUCAGCUGCUAACACUUCGAGUUUUGGUGGACUGAAUCAUGGUUUAUGUUGCCACCUAGUUUUUUACUCCUUUACAUUAUUUGAAAUUUUUUUUUUUGCCCUUUUAAUACUUCACAGAUUAUCAAGAUGUUCAAUGGGAACAAUUUUGGUAAAAGAUUGAUACUUUGUUCUAGUGUACUGUGGAACCAUAAUUUUAUUCUGAUAUUCAAUUUUAUUAUAUUUGAGCAGGAUAAGUAUUGUAUCAUCAAAAGAUUGAUUUCUGGCCUUUAUUAGUGACUUUUGUGCGACACAAUUUUAUGUUGCAAUAACAUUAUGGAGAUUUUUUGUGGUGCAUUUUUUGUGCCGCAAGUAGAGGGGCGACACUCAAACUAGUGCCGCAAAAAGCGACGCAAAUACAUGCGACAUACCCAAAAAUUGUGUCGUUUUCUUUUGUAACGGCUACUUUUGUGACACAAUUGAAUUCUGUCGCAUACCUUUUUGCGGCAGUUUUCUGAUUUCUUGCAGCAGAAUUCUGGCAUCACAAAAAGUUAAGGAGCUUGCGAGAAGAUUAAUUGAAGAGCAGGAACAUAACUUAGAGGAUAUUUCACUUCGUUAGAAGGAACUUCUCACCCAUAGAGUACAAUGCUAUUAAAUGCUCUUGAGGAGAUGAAAAAGGUUGGCUUUUGGAUAUGCUCAUGAAGAUGACUUCAGUUUGACACAAAUUGCUGCUUUAGUCUAUGUUUUUGUUUGGAAAGAGUACUUUGUUUUUUUGGAUGCGUAAUGGCUGUUACUAGUUGAACUGAUGUGAACUUAAUACUCUAUUGUUUAGAUGGAUAAUGGCUGUUAGUACUUGAACUAAUGUGGGCUUUGGAACCCAUUUUGGUUAAUAUGUGUUUUGAUGAAUUUAGAGAUGUUUAUAACCAUAUAUAUAUUUGAGGGUUCAUUGUACAUUAA